rnacentral:misc_RNA from 1 species
UUGAAGUCUAGGUCCAUAUAUGAGUGCAGGGGUUGAUAGCUAGCAAGUUUACACCAAACAUUUAUGUCUUCAACAGCCUCAUGAAUGUAAAUGCAUGUGACUUGAGUUACACCUUGGACAUAUACAAGCAAAUGCAAAAACUAGGUGUUCCGGCUGACUUGACAUCUUACAAUAUCCUUCUGAAGUCAUGUUGUCUUGCUACAAGAGUUGAUCUGGCCAAAGAAAUUUAUGGGGAGCUAAAGCAUUUAGAAAUGGCAGG